AGAACGAACGCUGGCGGCAGGCUUAACACAUGCAAGUCGAGCGCCUCGCAAGAGGAGCGGCAGACGGGUGAGUAACGCGUGGGAAUCUACCUAUCUCUACGGAACAACUCCGGGAAACUGGAGCUAAUACCGUAUACGCCCUUUGGGGGAAAGAUUUAUCGGAGAUGGAUGAGCCCGCGUUGGAUUAGGUAGUUGGUGGGGUAAUGGCCUACCAAGCCGACGAUCCAUAGCUGGUCUGAGAGGAUGAUCAGCCACAUUGGGACUGAGACACGGCCCAAACUCCUACGGGAGGCAGCAGUGGGGAAUAUUGGACAAUGGGCGCAAGCCUGAUCCAGCCAUGCCGCGUGAGUGAUGAAGGCCCUAGGGUUGUAAAGCUCUUUCAACGGUGAAGAUAAUGACGGUAACCGUAGAAGAAGCCCCGGCUAACUUCGUGCCAGCAGCCGC
rnacentral:rRNA from 1 species